CUUGGGUCUAGGAGUUGGAGGUCGCCUUGAGCUAUGAUCGCACCACUAUGCUUCAGCCUAGGUGACAGAGCAAGACCUUGUUUCUAAAAAACAGC